rnacentral:tRNA from 1 species
GAGCGCACUUGGCUUACUGGUUACGGUAUUCGCUUUGUAUGCGAAUGGUUCUGGAUUCGAUUCCCAUCUGCUUCCA